rnacentral:sRNA from 1 species
AGUUGUGCGAUUAUCUUUCCAUGCAGACUUGUCCUCUUUCUGAGGCUGUCCAGCGCCUGGGGGCAGUAGGACGGGUCCGGGAACUAAGCCCAUCUCAAACACGUCGGAGUGGCUUUCUUUGGGGGCCAAGGCCCGAGCCUGAGGCGGGACUCCAUGAGGCCUCUGGGGCGCGAGCGGUUUGACUAGGGGGGCGAUCCUUUCGGCGGGGCUGACGCAAGGCGCGGACAGGAAUUCUGACGAUCGGGAGCCAUCUUGUCCGGCCUUGAUACGUCUCUGACUACGCUUCCCAGAGGUCUCCUCCGCAAGACUGUACUUCUCGCGGUAAUUCAGCUUCCAAGUCACGCGCUGGCGGGACCCUCAGGGCUUUACCAGCAACUACCCCAGUGCCGGGGAGGGUUCUGCUGCUUCGAAAGCUCCUCUACCCUUCUCCAAAAGAAGAGCGAAGAGAAGAUCCUUUUCUACUAAUAUCAGAGCCAUGGCUCAGGUGAGAUACUGUUUCCUUUUGCUCAGAUAGAGUGAUUUUUACUUCUAGUAACUGUAAACAUUUGCUUUCCUCGUGAUGAUGCUUUUUGAUGUUAGAAAGAAAAACAACACCUUUCAAAAAGUUUGGUUAUGAGCAAUGUCAGAAUUUUGCUGUAAAGGAAAGGAUCUCUAACAGGCCAAUUCAUAGAAAAAAAAAAAGAAUUGAUUACAUAAUCAUUGUUAGAAAAUUUACCCUUUUUUUUUUUUUUCGAGAUGGAGUCUCGCUCUGUCUUCUAGGCUGGAGUACAGUGGCACGAUCUUGGCUUACUGCAACCUCUGCCUCCAGGGUUCAAGUGAUUCUCCUACUUCAGCCUCCUGAGUAGCUGGGAUUACAGGCGCCCACAACCACACCCAGCUAAUUUUUGUAUUUUUAGUAGAGAUGAGGUUUUGCCAUGUUGUCCAGGCUG